rnacentral:lncRNA from 1 species
UGAAGUUACAAAAAGAAGCAUUCAAUACUUAUAAUUACAUUUUUUAGCAAUGAUCAUGAAAACACGAAUUUUAUUAUUGUUUUAUUUAAUUCGCCUGUGCACUUUAUUGUGGGACCACGUGUUAUCAUGAAUGAAAAGUUUUAUUGAGCAAUGCAAUUGCUUACGGAAUAACACGUGAUGUGCAGUUAGCCAAUCAGAAUAAAGUAUCAUAAUGAAACAUACAUCUAAUGUAAUUAUU